rnacentral:lncRNA from 1 species
AUAAAGGAACCAAACGAACCCCACCCCCUCAAACGAACCCCACCUCUUUGUCUCUGAUCUUCAGAUACCAAAUCUCACCGAAACCCUAGCCUUCACCCCAUCCCCUCACCUAAAACCCGACGGCAACAACGCCUGUGACCACCAAAAUAACACCCCUAACUACCAAACCACCCUUUUUCCGAAUCCAUGGCCCUCGCACUUUUGUUGUUGUUAUUAUUUGCCUAAUUAAGUUUCAUUGUAAUUUAUCACUUCUGUCAAUUACUUCUUCCCCCCUCCCCCUCUUUUUGGACCUUUUUUCUGGUCCAGUUUUUCAUCACUGGUUAUUAGUAUAUCUAAUAUGUUGUUGAAUAUGUUUAUUCGUUAGCUAAAUUUUAAAUUCAGUGUCCAUAAGUUCUUGUACAAAACUAUAAUUGUUUGCUCAAAUGAUUUCACUUUUGUGUGAUGUUUGGUUCCCUGCUCUUUGUUAUUCAUCGUUUUUGCAUAUGAGUUCAGUUUUUGUUCGAUCCAGUGUAUUUGCAGUGUUCAUUCAUUAUUGUCUAAGUUAAUUAUGACUUUUUCCCAAUAUGGUUAUCUUAUUCCCUUGUAUUUGUGUGAAUCAAUUUUGACCUUACCAGUUCAAUACAAUAUUUCUGAAUCACUGAAUCCUUGGUUGCUGUUUGAAGCUAUUUGGUUUAAUCUGAUGUUCAAGCUUAUAUUGUUGAUUGAGUUCAGUGAGGUAAAUUACAAUGUUAUGUUGGGUUGUGAUAUGAAUUGAACUUGAGUUUAAAUUCAACCUUAGUUAAUCAGUGAUUAGGUUUCUUAUAUAGGUUAAUUGGUAUAGCUGAUGGGGUAGGACAGUAAUUCUUAUUAAGUUCAGAGGGGUAGUUUGGGACUUAAAUGUUUAAAAUGGUUAGGUUAAGUGUUCUGUCCAGUAAAGUACUGAUUUACAUUUAAACUAAGGUAUUUGUUCAAUAAUAUUGGGGAACAAGACAUAAUAGUAUGGGUAUUUUUUAAGAGAAAGUGAUUAUAAAAGUAACUCACUCAUAACCUUAGAGCUAGACAAUGAAACAAAAACAUACAGUAAUGGGUUCAGGGAAUAUCAUGGGCAGAAAUAUUUUCCUAAUAUGUUUAAGUGUCCCAAGAGGCUGAUAAGGGCUGUAGUUUUGCAUAUAAAUGGUGGAAGUAUUGGUAGAGGAGGGGCAGAUUUUUUUUGGAAAUCAGCUUCAGAGGUCACACUUGAAAGAAGAUCAAAAGUUUUAGAUAAAGAAGCAAUGAGUUUUUCUUAGGUUCUGGAUCUUGAGUCUAAAAGAGUUUGAGAAUUUUGAAAGUCUUAAUCAGUGUUGAGAGUUUAAAAGUAGUCUUAGAGAGUUGGUCAAUUUGAGAAGUAUAGGAAAGGUUUGAGAAAAGGGGAUACUGUUCCAUUGGUUUCCAGAUAAAAUUUGGGGUUCUAGACAUUGAUUCCAACUCCUUGUUGAUUGCUGAACCUAUUUUGAAGUCUACUGAUUUUGCGUUUGAACUUAUUCAAGCUCAGUUGAGUCUAUUUAGGUAUUGAUUAUUGUUGUCGAGUUUUACAAAUUAGUUUGGUCUUUGGGUUUGAGUGUACUUCUUGUUAGGGAGUUGUGUUGCUGUGUUGGUUAUUUUAAAACUGUACCAUUGUUGUUGCUGGUGUUACUGCUACCUGGCUGCUACUAACCUCUCUUUCUUCUUGUUCUAUUUCCAAUACAGGUACACAUUUGUUACUCAAGGAUUAUGAAUUGAAAUAUGAGCAGAAAUGAGUAUAUGAAGAAUGAGUUAUUUGAAAACUGAAUUUCUGAGUUAGUUUGUUUUCAGGCUUAUAAAUUUAGCACGUGGUUCACGAAUGUUGUUCAAGUUGUUGCUUGUGUCGUACUAAAUGGACUAUAUAAAGUGUUAUAUUAUAUAUUCAUGUAAUUGCAAUAAGGUGGAAAUUAGUGUUAUCACAGAAUGAUUUUGUAGAAGGAUUGAUAAAUUGUUUCAAACCUUUGUAAGUAGUGAAAGAUGCAGUUUCAUGUUUUAUAGUUAACUCCAGUAUUCCAGCUUAUCUAAUAAUGCGAGUUUGACUUAGUUUAAAAAUGGCUGGUAUGUAUUGGUAUUGGUAAUACUAUUGUCAAAUCUAUGCAUCUUUAUAAUUUUCAACAUCAGUGAUAUCCAAGAAUUCAUCAAUAGAUAACGAGAUAAAGUAUACAAGCUUGAAAAGAGAUUCAAACAGUUAAUGUCUAAUUAAUUGUA